rnacentral:misc_RNA from 1 species
CCCAACUAUCCCUAUUAAUCAUUACGGCGAUCCUAGAAACCAACAAAAUAGAACCGUACCGUCCUAUUUCAUUAUUCCAUGCUAAUGUAUUCAGACGUAAGCCUGCUUUAAACACUCUAAUUUUUUCAAAGUAACAGUCCUGAUUCCCCAAAACACCAAAUUAAUGGCAUAAAGGUUCUUCAGAAGGUAGAAAUCCGACACACCAGUACAGACAGUAAAGCCUGACCAAUGGACGAAUCUCGAGGUUCAACUACGAGCUUUUUAACUGCAACAACUUUAAUAUACGCUAUUGGAGCUGGAAUUACCGCGGCUGCUGGCACCAGACUUGCCCUCCAA